rnacentral:rRNA from 1 species
UAAGGUGGAUUAUGUUAAUUAGCUAUAUUCAUUUGACGUUUAGCUUGCAGUAAGAAGCUACCGGCUUAACUCCGUGCCAGCAGCCGCGGUAAUUACGGAGGGUUGCGAGCGUUAAUCGGAAUUACUGGGCGUAAAGCGCAUUGCAGGUGGUUUGUUAAGUUCAGAUGUGAAAGCCCGGGGCUCAAACCUCGGAAUUUGCAUUUUGAAACUGGCAAACUAGAGUACUGUAGAGGGGGUAGAAUUUCAGGUGUAGCGGUGAAAUGCGUAGAGAUCUGAAGGAAUACCGGUGGCGAAGGCGGCCCCCUGGACAGAUACUGACACUCAGAUGCGAAAGCGUGGGGAGCAAACAGGAUUAGAUACCCUGGUAG